UACAGAGGGGGCAAGCGUUGUUCGGAAUUACUGGGCGUAAAGGGCGCGUAGGUGGUUUGAUAAGGGUGUGGUGAAAGUCCGGGGCUCAACCCCGGAUCUGCCGUGCCGACUGUCAAACUCGAGGACUGUAGAGGCAGACGGAAUUCCGGGUGUAGCGGUGGAAUGCGUAGAUAUCGGGAGGAACACCAGUGGCGAAGGCGACUACCUGGCCUGUUCUUGACGCUGAGGCGCGAAAGCUAGGGGAGCAAACGGG
rnacentral:rRNA from 1 species